UGGGCUAUAGCCAAGUGGUAAGGCAACGGACUUUGACUCCGUCACUCGUAGGUUCGAAUCCUGCUAGCCCAGCCA
rnacentral:tRNA from 6 species